GGUUAGUGGCAGACGGGUGAGUAAUGCAUAGGAAUCUGCCCAGUAGUAUGGGAUAGCCACUAGAAAUGGUGGGUAAUACUGUAUAAUCCCUGCGGGGGAAAGAUUUAUCGCUACUAGAUGAGCCUAUGUUAGAUUAGCUAGUUGGUGGGGUAAUGGCCUACCAAGGCUGUGAUCUGUAGCUGGUCUGAGAGGAUGAUCAGCCACACUGGAACUGAGACACGGUCCAGACUCCUACGGGAGGCAGCGGUGGGGAAUAUUGGACAAUGGGCGCAAGCCUGAUCCAGCUAUGCCGCGUGAGUAAGGAAGGCCUUAGGGUUGUAAAACUCUUUCAGUGGGGAAGAUAAUGACGGUCCCAACAGAAAAAGUCCCGGCAAACUC
rnacentral:rRNA from 1 species